rnacentral:rRNA from 1 species
UAAAUUGUUCAUUAAUUGUGAACUAGAAUGAAAGAAAAAAUGGUAUAAUACUGUCUUAAAUUUUAUACAUUGAAAUUAAAUUUUUUGUAAAAAUGCAAAAAUUUUAUUUAGGGACAAGAAGACCCUACAAAGCUUAUUUGAUAUUUUAUAUAAUUAUAUUAAAAAUCAUUUUGAUUGGGGCAAUUAUUUAUAUAUAUAUAAUAUAAAUUAAAUUAAAAUAUUAAUAUACUCAUUGAGAGAUCCAUUAUUAAUGAAAGAUGUUUAAGUUACUUUAGGGAUAACAGGAUAAUUUUUGUUAGAAAGAUCUUAUUAAUAAUAAAGUUUAUUACCUCGAUGUUGAAUUAAUUUAAUUUAAUGGUGAAGUAACUUUUUGAGUUUGACUGUUCGUCAAUUAAAUAAUUACAUGAUCUGAGUUC